rnacentral:lncRNA from 1 species
CCUGAGUUUGUCAGCAUCGACCACGUUUCUACCGUCAAAAACAAAAGCCGGUUUCUGCAUAUUCUCAAAGAUCCGCUGGAAAUCGAGUUUCUUGAACUCGUCCCACUCGGUUAAAAUGCAGAUACCGUGGGCGUCUUUGGUUGCAGUGUAUGCGUCCCAAGCGACUGAGACUUGUUUCACAGUGGUGGGGCUCAUGGGCUGGAGAUGAAGCGGGUGGUCCCAGUCGAAUUUGUUCAUGGUUAAGUCUCUUUGGAUCUGGUCUUCAGUGACUUGUGGGUCGUAGAUGCUGAGACGAGCUUUGUCACCUAACAGACCUUUGCAGACAUCAAUGGCUGGAGUCUCUCUUGUGUCUCCAGUGUCUUUCUUAAAAGCGAACCCGAGAACCGCAAUCUUUUUGUUGGAGACUGUGUUGAACAUUGAAGAGACAAUGCGGUUAACAAAUCGGGUUUUCUGGUAGUCGUUGAUCUUGAUGACUUGUUUCCAGUACUCAGCAACUUCGGGUAAGCCGUUGCACUCGCAAAUGUAAACUAAGUUGAGAAUAUCUUUCUGGAAACAAGAUCCUCCGAAUCCCACACUUGAGUUCAAGAACUUGGGACCAAUCCGAGAGUCUUUGCCCACAGCGUAAGAGACCUCUGAGACAUUGGCGCCAGUUGCUUCACAGAGAGCAGACAUUGCAUUGACUGAUGAGAUUCUCUGGGCUAAGAAGGCGUUAGCUGCAAGCUUGGAAAGCUCGGCAGACCAGAGAUUGGUGGUGAGGAUUCUCUCUUCAGGGACCCAUUGGGAAUAAACGUCUUUCAAAGCUUUGACGGCUGCAAAGCCUUCAGGUGUUUCACGACCACCGAUGAGGACACGGUCAGGCAUGAAAAGGUCUUCAAUAGCAGUUCCUUCAGCAAGGAACUCAGGGUUUGACAGAAUCUGGAAUUUGAUUCCUUUGCUGUUGUGUGUAAGAAUCUUCUCAAUUGCCUCUGCGGUUUUGACAGGAACAGUUGAUUUCUCAACAACAAUCUUGUCAGAAACCGAAACAUCGGCAAUCAUACGAGCAGCGCUCUCCCAGUAAGUCAAAUCCGCAGCUUUGCCAGCUCCAAGACCACGGGUCUUAGUCGGGGUGUUGACAGACACAAAAACAAUGUCAGCCUCUCUCACAUGCUUCUCAACAUCAGUGCUGAAGAAGAGAUUCUUUCCACGGCACUGCUUAACCACAUCAUCGAGACCAGGCUCAUAGAUGGGAAGCUGAUCGCUGUUCCAGGCAUUGAUCCGUGGCACAGAGAUAUCAACAACGGCUACUUCAACAGAUGGACACUUUAGAGCAAUGACCGCCAUAGUUGGACCACCAACAUAUCCAGCUCCAAUGCAGCAAAUCUUCACCAUUAUGCUUGUAAACUGA